GACGAACGCUGGCGGCGUGCUUAACACAUGCAAGUCGAGGGGGAGUGGGGAGCAAUCCUCGCUUCACCGGCGAACGGGUGCGUAACACGUGAGCGACCUGCCGUACCUUUGUGGGGGAUAGCCGGCCCAACGGCCGGGUAAUACCGCAUACGUUCUCGUUGGGGCAUCUUGACGAGAAGAAAGGCGUGGGGGCAGCAAUGCUCUCGCGUCGCAGGACGAGGGGCUCGCGGCCUAUCAGCUCGUUGGCGGGGUAACGGCCCACCAAGGCGACGACGGG
rnacentral:rRNA from 1 species